CUUUUCCUCUUUUUAAAAUUUUAUUUAAUGCUUAUACAACCAAAUAAAAGUGAAAGAGCAACAGGCUGUAUGAAGAGCCCUCAAUCUCAUUCUGCACCUCUUUCUGUCUUAUACUUCCAGCAUUGAUCGGUGCCUCAAAUAUUUGGCUAUGGAGCAGCCAUAAUAGGAUUUCAACUAUGUGCUGUCAGAGAAUUUCUCCAGGGGUUUGGACCAGUUCUUCACAGACAACCUCAACCCAUUAGCUUUGCAACCAGACUGAUGCACUUGGAAGAAUCAUUAAAAAGACAUGGUACAUCUCCAGAACAAAACUAAGGUCCUACUUGAAACUGAAUGCAGGUGUCUUCAACUGUGUGUUUAAAACAAAGAAGAUCCAGGACACACUGCUCAAACUGUUAGCAUGAAUCUAACAUAAAUCCAAAGCUGUUCUCCUGGCAGAAAAGUAGCACAGCCCUGUGCUGAACCCACUCAAGCAGAUUUUAUUGAUGCAACUGCCUGGGGUACACUGGGCCACUAUGUCCAUAAAAAUAAUAAUUAAGCUGUGGGAUGUAUUACACAGCUUAGUACCUGAACUAAGCUCAGAGCAUUGAUUAAUAUUUCUAUUUAUAUGUCUUGUUUUUUGUCAUUGAGUAAGGUACCUCUAAUCUAUUUAGCAUCUUUCACUUCCAUUUUACUUUUAUCACCACCUCCAAUAAAAGAGAAUCAAGAAAGCAAUGGAGUUUCCUUUCAAUAAAACAAUAAGAAGGCCUAUCUCCUGAAUGUGUUUUUCAGAUUGAAAUCAUUUAGAUUUACUUGCA
rnacentral:lncRNA from 1 species